UGACGAGUGGCGCACGGGUGCGUAACGCGUGUGCAACUUACCUCUAACUGGAAGAUACCCUUCCGAAAGGAAGAAUAAUACUCCAUUAUAUUUCGAUGUGGCAUCACAUUGUUCUUAAAGCUUCGGCGGUUAGAGAUAGGCAUGCGUCUGAUUAGCUUGUUGGUGAGGUAACGGCUCACCAAGGCAACGAUCAGUAGGGGGCCUGAGAGGGUUAUCCCCCACACUGGUACUGAGACACGGACCAGACUCCUACGGGAGGCAGCAGUGAGGAAUAUUGGUCAAUGGACGCAAGUCUGAACCAGCCAUGCCGCGUGCAGGAUGAAUGCCCUAUGGGUUGUAAACCUCUUUUUUCAGGGAGGAAUAAAAUGACGUGUACCUGAAGAAUAAGCAUCGGCUAACUCCGUGCCAGCAGCCGCGGUAAGACGGAGGAUGCAAGUGUUAUCCGGAAUCACUGGGCGUAAAGCGUCUGUAGGUGGUUUAAUAAGUCAACUGUUAAAUCUUGAGGCUUAACUUCAAAAUCGCAGUCGAAACUAUUAGACUAGAGUAUAGUAGGGGUAAAGGGAAUUUCCAGUGGAGCGGUGAAAUGCGUAGAGAUUGGAAAGAACACCGAUGGCGAAGGCACUUUACUGGGCUAUUACUGACACUCAGAGACGAAAGCUAGGGUAGCAAAUGGGAUUAGAUACCCCAGUAGUCCUAGCCGUAAACAAUGGAUACUAGAUGUUGGACAGAUCGACCUGUGCAGUAUUAAAGCUAACGCGUUAAGUAUCCCGCCUGGGAAGUAUGCUCGCAAGAGUGAAACUC
rnacentral:rRNA from 1 species